GUACUCUGUUUGGUGGCAUAUAGACGAAAAUUGGAACAAUACUGAGAUUAGCAUGGCCCCUGAGCAAGAAUGAUAGGCAAAUUUGUGAAGUAUUUAAAAAAAAA